rnacentral:rRNA from 1 species
AUUGAACGCUGGCGGCAGGCUUAACACAUGCAAGUCGAGCGGGGUGAUGGUGCUUGCACUAUCACUUAGCGGCGGACGGGUGAGUAAUGCUUAGGAAUCUGCCUAUUAGUGGGGGACAACAUUUCGAAAGGAAUGCUAAUACCGCAUACGUCCUACGGGAGAAAGCAGGGGAUCUUCGGACCUUGCGCUAAUAGAUGAGCCUAAGUCGGAUUAGCUAGUUGGUGGGGUAAAGGCCUACCAAGGCGACGAUCUGUAGCGGGUCUGAGAGGAUGAUCCGCCACACUGGGACUGAGACACGGCCCAGACUCCUACGGGAGGCAGCAGUGGGGAAUAUUGGACAAUGGGCGCAAGCCUGAUCCAGCCAUGCCGCGUGUGUGAAGAAGGCCUUAUGGUUGUAAAGCACUUUAAGCGAGGAGGAGGCUACUUUAGUUAAUACCUAGAGAUAGUGGACGUUACUCGCAGAGUAAGCACCGGCUAACUCUGUGCCAGCAGCCGCGGUAAUACAGAGGGUGCAAGCGUUAAUCGGAUUUACUGGGCGUAAAGCGCGCGUAGGCGGCUAAUUAAGCCAAAUGUGAAAUCCCCGAGCUUAACUUGGGAAUUGCAUUCGAUACUGGUUAGCUAGAGUGUGGGAGAGGAUGGUAGAAUUCCAGGUGUAGCGGUGAAAUGCGUAGAGAUCUGGAGGAAUACCGAUGGCGAAGGCAGCCAUCUGGCCUAACACUGACGCUGAGGUGCGAAAGCAUGGGGAGCAAACAGGAUUAGAUACCCUGGUAGUCCAUGCCGUAAACGAUGUCUACUAGCCGUUGGGGCCUUUGAGGCUUUAGUGGCGCAGCUAACGCGAUAAGUAGACCGCCUGGGGAGUACGGUCGCAAGACUAAAACUCAAAUGAAUUGACGGGGGCCCGCACAAGCGGUGGAGCAUGUGGUUUAAUUCGUUGCAACGCGAAGAACCUUACCUGGCCUUGACAUAGUAAGAACUUUCCAGAGAUGGAUUGGUGCCUUCGGGAACUUACAUACAGGUGCUGCAUGGCUGUCAUCAGCUCGUGUCGUGAGAUGUUGGGUUAAGUCCCGCAACGAGCGCAACCCUUUUCCUUAUUUGCCAGCGAGUAAUGUCGGGAACUUUAAGGAUACUGCCAGUGACAAACUGGAGGAAGGCGGGGACGACGUCAAGUCAUCAUGGCCCUUACGGCCAGGGCUACACACGUGCUACAAUGGUCGGUACAAAGGGUUGCUACCUAGCGAUAGGAUGCUAAUCUCAAAAAGCCGAUCGUAGUCCGGAUUGGAGCCUGCAACUCGACUCCAUGAAGUCGGAAUCGCUAGUAAUCGCGGAUCAGAAUGCCGCGGUGAAUACGUUCCCGGGCCU